CGCUUUUAUUUCCGGUAAUGGUUCGUCCGGUAAUAAUUUUAAAAUCCAGGAAGGAAGAAGCGCCGAGAGGGUCCGUUCUUCAAGUUGUGAAAGAAAAAGAACAAACCAACUUACUUUUCUGUAAGACAAAGAAGGGCUGCAUUUAGAGCUUCUGAAGGUCAUCGUGGAGCCCCCUCUGGCAAUCCCUGGGCUGAGGAGCCUCAACUCUCGUUCAGAAUGUGACGCGGAGAGUGGACGGUGCCCAUGACUGAUCUAGAGACCUUUGACAUGAUGUCCAAGUAAAUAAAUGACAAACAGGAUGCAAGACUGAAUGACAGAAUGAUUAAGCUUAGAAUUGAUUGCAAAGCAGUCUUGUGUUAGGAGGCCGCUGAUUUGAAGACCUGCAUGUUUCCAAGACCAUGGACCGACUCUACACAAAUGACAAUGACAACGUUCAAUAUGCGUGCUUGUGUGACUCGUGCAGAAAGCCCUCAGGAAGGCUGCUCUGAUAGCGCUGACUAAUCCCAAGGUCUACAAUGGGUGGUGCCUGAUGUACAUCGAGUUCAUCUUUGUAGAAGCUGUUGGCGACACGCACAGAGGCCACGGAUGUUGAAACAAGGACCUCAAUGGUUUUAAAAUUAAAACGGGCUCCAGCGCUGAGUAGCAAAGGGGGCUAUCAAAAGCCCACAAGAGAGUGAUGUUUAUAUUGUUGUGUUUCGCCGAGCUCGUUGUUUUGUUUGAUAUGUCCUACAUAAAAUAUGUAUAUAUUUAUAUUGUAACGUAGUAGUUCUGU